rnacentral:rRNA from 1 species
UACGGAGGGUGCAAGCGUUGUCCGGAUUUAUUGGGUUUAGAGGGUGCGUAGGCGGGCCUUUAAGUCAGUGGUGAAAGCCGACAGCUUAACUGUCGAAAUGCCAUUGAUACUGGGGGUCUUGAGUACAGUAGAGGUAGGCGGAAUUAAUGGUGUAGCGGUGAAAUGCAUAGAUACCAUUAAGAACACCGAUUGCGAAGGCAGCUUACUAUAGUGUAACUGACGCCUGAGGCACGAAAGUGUGGGGAUCAAACAGG